UGGGGAAUUUUGCACAAUGGGGGAAACCCUGAUGCAGCGACGCCGCGUGAUUUAGAAGGCAUUCGGGUUGUCAAAAUCUUUUCUAUGGGAAGAAAAUGACAGUACCAUAGGAGGAAGCCCCGGCUAAAUACGUGCCAGCAGCCGCGGUAAUACGUAUGGGGCGAGCGUUGUCCGGAAUUAUUGGGCGUAAAGGGUACGUAGGCGGUCUAUUAAGUCAGGUGUGAAAGCGUGAGGCUUAACCUCAUUAAGCACUUGAAACUGAUAGACUUGAGUGAAGGAGAGGAAAGUGGAAGUCCUAGUGUAGCGAUGAAAUGCGUAGAUAUUAGGAGGAAUACCGGUGGCGAAGGCGACUUUCUGGACUUUUACUGACGCUCAGGUACGAAAGCGUGGGGAGCAAACAGG
rnacentral:rRNA from 1 species